ACCGCGCGCAGUGGGUAGCCCGGGGCAACCAGGACGCCGCUCCAGGAAGCACUCCUCACUCACUGGUCGCUGUGAUUUGAGGCAUCCUGCCAAGGCGGCGGCGGCUGAAGGUACCCGGAACUCUGAAAAUGGGAUCUUUCAGACUCAGAGAUGGAACCCGGGUCCCCUGCGCUGAAGGCCAUCUGCUUCAUUGCAGGCAGAUUCUUUACCGACUGAGUCACCAGGGAAGCCCCUGUUAAGCAGGAAUUUUGUUUUCAAGGUUCAUGCAUGUUAUAGCAUGGUAUAUGAGUACUUCAUUCUUUUAUGUAAUGGAAUAAUACUACAUUUUACAAAUAUUACAAAAGAGUCAACAUGACUUAAUGACUAAACAAAGAGAGGUCUGCCUUCUGCCCUACUUGGCUUUGGGUGGCAAUAUCUAAGCCUAUCAGUGUUAUUCCUCACAGGAAUGUCUUUGUUUGCCUGGGGAUAUUUUAGUCACUAUUCAAAUAGUCAAUAUAGGUCCAUCUCGUCAAACCUAUGGUUUUUCCAGUAGUCGUAUAUGGAUGUGAGAGUUGGACUAUAAAGAAAGCUGGGCACCAAAGAAUUGAUGCUUUUGAACUGUAGUGUUGGAGAAGAUUCUUGAGAGUCCCUUGGACUGCAAGGAGAUCCAACCAGUCCAUCCUAAAGGAAAUCAGUCCUGAAUAUUCGUUGGAUGGACUGAUGCUGAAGCUGAAACCCCAACACUUUGGCCACCUGAUUUGAAGAACUGACUCUCUUGAAAAGACCCUGAUUCUGGGAAAGAUCGAAGGCAGGAGGAGAAGGGGACAACAGAGGACAAGAUGGUUGGAUGGCAUCACUGACUCAAUGGACAUGAGUUUGAGUAAACUCUGGGAGUUUGCGAUAGACAGGGAGGCCUGGCAUGCUCCAGUCCAUGGGGUUGCAAAGAGUCGGACACGACUGAGCGACUGAACUGACUGAACUGAUAGUCAAUAUAGUAAUUUAGGUUGGGGCUGGCCAUGUCACAAAGUCUAGCAAUGUCAUUUAGGAUAAGGACUUUGGGUCACAUGGUAUUAGCUCAACCUCCUAAGGGGUUAAAAACUGAGAUCAGGCACAUGGGCAGUCAGCAGUGUCUAUGUAAUAGAACCACAGUAAAGAUUCUGGAUGCCAAGGCUCAGGUGAGCGUCUCUGGUUGGCAAUUCCAUGCAUAUUGUCAUAUAUCGUCCCUGGGAGCAGCUAAGCCUGUCCGUGAUUCUUCAGGGAGAGGAUCACUGGAGGCCCUGCAUUUGGAACCCUCCUGGACUCUAUCCUGUGACUGAUUUUAAUCUGUAUCUUCUUCCUGGAUAACUUUGGGUGUAACAACUUUCAGUGAGUUUGGUAAGUCCUUCUUGCAAAUUAGUUGGGGAUCCCUAGAUUUGCAUUUGGUGUCAAAAGUAAACAUGGUCUUGGGGAACCCUUAAACCCUGCAAUGAUGUCAGAAAUAAAGGUGGUCUCUUGGAGACCAUUUCUCAGAUUUUGCAGCAUUUAUGUUCAUGGGAUAUAUUUGUCUAUUAUUUCCCUUUCUUGUAAUGUCUUUUUCUAGUUUGGUGUCAGAGAAAUGAUUCCCAAAAGGAAUUGGGAAUAUUCCUUCUUCUCCUGUUUUCUCAAAAAAUUUAUUUAGGAUUACUGUCUUUCCACCUUCAAUAUUUGACAGAAUUUGCUGGUGAACUAAUCUGGACUUGAAGCUUUCUUUGUGGGAUGGUCUUUAAUCAUAAAUUCAAAUAAUUUUAUAUCAAUAUGGCUACUCAUAUUUUCUAUUUCUUUGUUAGUUUGGUAAAUUGUCUUGCUAAAGAUGAGAAAAUUGCCCAUUUUAUCUAAGUUGUCAAAUAUAAGUUGGUAUAGAUGUGUGAAUAAUAUUCUCUAUUCAAUAUCUGUAGGAUCUGUACUGACGGCUCUUUUUCAUUUAUCAUGGGGGUAAUUUCUGUUUUUUCACUUUUUUAAAAAUUAAAUAAACAAAUCAUUUAAAUAAAU